AAAAAAAGAGAAGAGAAGAGAAACAUAGGCUAGAAACAAGGAAAGAGCUACGAUUUUGGGAGGAGAAAAAGGCAGCCCAAAACGUUACCAAACAGUCCCUAAGUUUCAGCUGCGCUAAAGGAAAUUCCGAGGCAAGUUUUGGCGGGUUUUGGUGAAUUUCGGGAAAGGUUCAAGAGACGACGAGGCGAGCAUAGUUAAGAGUAAUCCGUAAGAGGUACAGAUGAUUGGUUUGCUGAUCCGCUCGCUUAGGACAUCCACCAUGUUGGUCGACAG